GCCUGGCUGGCUCAGUGGGUAGAGCAUGUGACUCAUAACCUUAGGGCUGUGAGUUUGAGCCCCACAUUGGGUG
rnacentral:tRNA from 1 species